rnacentral:rRNA from 1 species
AGCAGUAGCCGCGGUAAUACGGAGGGGGCUAGCGUUGUUCGGAAUUACUGGGCGUAAAGCGCACGUAGGCGGCUUGGUAAGUUAGAGGUGAAAGCCUGGAGCUCAACUCCAGAAUUGCCUUUAAGACUGCCGAGCUAGCAGGUGAGAGAGGUAAGUGGAAUUCCGAGUGUAGAGGUGAAAUUCGUAGAUAUUCGGAAGAACACCAGUGGCGAAGGCGGCUUACUGGCUCAUACUGGACGCUGAGGUGCGAAAGCGUGGGGAGCAAACAGGAUUAGAUACCCGCGUAGUCCCUGUCUCUUAUAC